GAUGAACGCUAGCUACAGGCUUAACACAUGCAAGUCGAGGGACAGGAGCACGUGUGAGUAACGCGUAUCCAACCUUCCCAUUACUGUGGGAUAACCUGCCGAAAAGCAGACUAAUAACGCAAGGUAAUGGAUGGGGAUGCGUCUGAUUAGCUUGGUGGCGGGGUAACUGCCAACCAAGGCGACGAUCAGUAGGGGUUCUGAGAGCAAGGUCCCCCACAUGUGAACUGAGACACGGUCCAAACGCCUACGCGAGGAAGAAGUGAGGAAUAUUGGUAAAUGGGCGAGAGCCUGAACCAGCCAAGUAGCGGGCAGGAUGACGGCGUAUGGGUUGUAAACUGCUUUUGUAGGGGGAUAGGGACCAUACGAAUAAGGACCGGCUAAUUCCGUGCCAGCAGCCGCGGUAAUUC
rnacentral:rRNA from 1 species